rnacentral:lncRNA from 1 species
CUUAUUGCGUUUCCAGCCAUUCCAAGCUUUAAGGAUCUGUUUUGCAACAUUCUUUGGCAUCAAGAAACAUUCUUUAUUCAUCCUUUCUUGCCGCCCAAGUAUCAUUCUAUUUCAAUUUGGUUUUCUUGAUAUUUUAAGUUUAUUUUUCUAUUUUCUGUUUCCGUUUCAGAUCCAAGUGUCUAUAGUUUUCAUAGGACUUUUCCCGUGACUUGACAACUCAAUCUUGGUCCGCGUGCAACCCUCUAUCACCUUUGUUGUUAUAAAACAAU